CAAAGCCACACCUCACAUCAUCACCACAGGAGGAUUGUCUCAUGACCGUGGAGUCCUUGCAUUUAUAUAAAAAAAAUAGUCAUGAUAACUAGGAAAGGCUGUCUCUUCAGGCAUUCAACCCAGUCUGGCUAGAGAUAGAGGCUCCUGAUGUUGGCCUAUGAAAUCUUGGGGAUCAAGCCAUCCUUCCAUUUGAGCUCUGGAGUUGAUGGGCCUACCCCAGUAGGCCCCAUGCCACCAUGCCCGGCUGGUACUCAUCCAUCUCCACUUUACAAAUGAGGAGCUGAGACUCAGACAACACAGCAAGCCCAAGAUCACAGGGCCUAAAAGUGGCGGAGGUUCUCAGAUCUGAAUUGGAUAGGUCAAAGGCUACCGCACACGGACUGGGGUGAGGCUCCUCUGGUAACAUGCCUGCUGCUCAAACAUAGAAAUCUGAGUCUGAGUCCCAAGAAAUUCCCUGCCCAGUCAUCCUGUCCAAAUCAGUGCGCUCCAAGUUCAGUGGGGACCCUGUCUCAAAGAAUGAAGUGGAAAGCGACAGAGGAAUACAACCAGCAUCUAACUGUGACCAUCACACAGCCUCGGGUUUGGCAGUGAU
rnacentral:lncRNA from 1 species